rnacentral:rRNA from 1 species
CACGGUAAACGAUGGAUGCCCGCUGUUUGCGAUAUACUGUGAGCGGCCAAGAGAAAUCGUUAAGCAUCCCACCUGGGGAGUACGCCGGCAACGGUGAAACUCAAAGGAAUUGACGGGGGCCCGCACAAGCGGAGGAACAUGUGGUUUAAUUCGAUGAUACGCGAGGAACCUUACCCGGGCUUGAAUUGCUGAGGAAAGAUCCAGAGAUGGUGAUGCCCUUCGGGGCCUCAGUGAAGGUGCUGCAUGGUUGUCGUCAGCUCGUGCCGUGAGGUGUCGGCUUAAGUGCCAUAACGAGCGCAACCCCUCUCCGCAGUUGCCAUCAGGUGAUGCUGGGCACUCUGCGGACACUGCCGCCGUAAGGUGCGAGGAAGGUGGGGAUGACGUCAAAUCAGCACGGCCCUUACGUCCGGGGCUACACACGUGUUACAAUGGCCGGUACAGAGGGCUGGGUGCAUGCAAGUGCGCCCGAAUCUUGAAAGCCGGUCUCAGUUCGGACUGGGGUCUGCAACCCGACC